rnacentral:rRNA from 1 species
CGAACGCUGGCGGCGUGCCUAAUACAUGCAAGUAGAACGCACAGUUUAUACCGUAGCUUGCUACACCAUAGACUGUGAGUUGCGAACGGGUGAGUAACGCGUAGGUAACCUGCCUGGUAGCGGGGGAUAACUAUUGGAAACGAUAGCUAAUACCGCAUAAUAUUAAUUAUUGCAUGAUAAUUAAUUGAAAGGUGCAAUUGCACCACUACCAGAUGGACCUGCGUUGUAUUAGCUAGUAGGUGAGGUAACGGCUCACCUAGGCGACGAUACAUAGCCGACCUGAGAGGGUGAUCGGCCACACUGGGACUGAGACACGGCCCAGACUCCUACGGGAGGCAGCAGUAGGGAAUCUUCGGCAAUGGACGAAAGUCUGACCGAGCAACGCCGCGUGAGUGAAGAAGGUUUUCGGAUCGUAAAGCUCUGUUGUAGGAGAAGAACGGGUGUGAGAGUGGAAAGUUCACACUGUGACGGUAUCUUACCAGAAAGGGACGGCUAACUACGUG